UGAAAACUUGAUUGAAGAAGAAAUUUCUGUUUGGAGCUAUUUCAAAUACAUUCAGGUUUCACUACAGAUUUGUACAGAAAAGGUCUUGUAACAAAGAAAUAUUUGGUUUUAUGUGUCUGUUAGCCAUGACCAUGGUGCUUUGAAAAGUUCCCCCAGCUUUGUUAGAUGAUGGGGGUUUCCUAAGCAAUUAGCAUUCCAGAAUCGAAAUAACUUUCUACAACUUGUUUUCUUAGAUUCCUGACCAUCGUGAAAGACCCUUGAUAAGAAAUAUUUAUUGCCCUGUGUGGUAAGAGCAAGCAUUUGAUCCCAGCCUACAGGAGGCAGAGUGCCAACUGUGGACCACAAAGACACUUCAGCCCCAUUCUUCCCCUUUGUUCUGCGUGUAACAGUUCGGUGGGGAGAAGAAGCCGGAGAAGGAGCUAGUGACAUUCAUUUUUAGCAGGGACUGAAGAACACCUCUGUCUUCGUUAGGAUUUUGCUGCUGUGAACAGAGACCAUGACCAAGGAUGAACAGCAACUUCCAGCACUCUGAAAUCUAGCCAAAAGAUUAGUACCAGUUUGAUAUGUUCCUGUGAUUCAAGUUCAUGGAUUCC
rnacentral:lncRNA from 1 species